rnacentral:rRNA from 1 species
UACAGAGGGUGCAAGCGUUGUUCGGAAUUAUUGGGCGUAAAGAGCUCGUAGGCGGUUUGUCGCGUCGGCUGUGAAAACCUGGGGCUCAACCCCGGGCCUGCAGCCGAUACGGGCAAACUAGAAUUCGGUAGGGGAGACUGGAAUUCCUGGUGUAGCGGUGAAAUGCGCAGAUAUCAGGAGGAACACCGGUGGCGAAGGCGGGUCUCUGGGCCGAUAUUGACGCUGAGGAGCGAAAGCGUGGGGAGCGAACAGG